UACGGAGGGGGCAAGCGUUGUUCGGAAUUACUGGGCGUAAAGGGCGCGUAGGCGGCACUGUUAGUCAGGCGUGAAAGUCCUGGGCUCAACCUGGGAACUGCGCUUGAUACGGCAGAGCUAGAGGAUGGAAGAGGCUCGCGGAAUUCCCAGUGUAGAGGUGAAAUUCGUAGAUAUUGGGAAGAACACCGGUGGCGAAGGCGGCGAGCUGGUCCAUUACUGACGCUGAGGCGCGACAGCGUGGGGAGCAAACAGG
rnacentral:rRNA from 1 species